rnacentral:rRNA from 1 species
GACACGGCCCAGACUCCUACGGGAGGCAGCAGUGGGGAAUAUUGCGCAAUGGGGGCAACCCUGACGCAGCCAUGCCGCGUGAAUGAAGAAGGCCUUCGGGUUGUAAAGUUCUUUCGGUAGCGAGGAAGGCAUUUAGUUUAAUAGACUAGGUGAUUGACGUUAACUACAGAAGAAGCACCGGCUAACUCCGUGCCAGCAGCCGCGGUAAUACGGAGGGUGCGAGCGUUAAUCGGAAUAACUGGGCGUAAAGGGCACGCAGGCGGUGACUUAAGUGAGGUGUGAAAGCCCCGGGCUUAACCUGGGAAUUGCAUUUCAUACUGGGUCGCUAGAGUACUUUAGGGAGGGGUAGAAUUCCACGUGUAGCGGUGAAAUGCGUAGAGAUGUGGAGGAAUACCGAAGGCGAAGGCAGCCCCUUGGGAAUGUACUGACGCUCAUGUGCGAAAGCGUGGGGAGCAAACAGGAUUAGAUACCCUGGUAGUCCACGCUGUAAACGAUGUCGAUUUGGGGGUUGAGCUUUAAGUUUGGCGCCCGUAGCUAACGUGAUAAAUCGACCGCCUGGGGAGUACGGCCGCAAGGUUAAAACUCAAAUGAAUUGACGGGGGCCCGCACAAGCGGUGGAGCAUGUGGUUUAAUUCGAUGCAACGCGAAGAACCUUACCUACUCUUGACAUCCAGAGAACAUUCCAGAGAUGGAUUGGUGCCUUCGGGAACUCUGAGACAGGUGCUGCAUGGCUGUCGUCAGCUCGUGUUGUGAAAUGUUGGGUUAAGUCCCGCAACGAGCGCAACCCUUAUCCUUUGUUGCCAGCGAUUUGGUCGGGAACUCAAAGGAGACUGCC